rnacentral:rRNA from 1 species
GACGACCGCUGGCGGCGUGCUUAACACAUGCAAGUCGAGCGGAGCGGCGAACGGGCGAGUAACGCGUCAGUAACUGCCCCCCUCUCUGGGAUAACAGUUGGAAACGGCUGCUAAUACCGGAUAGUGGGGGAUGACUCGCGUCCUAUCAGCUUGUGGGUGGGGUAGUCGCCUACCAAGGAGACGACGGGUAGCCGGUCUGAGAGGGGGACCGGCCACAUUGGGCUGAGAUACGGGCCAGACUGCUACGGGAGGAAGCAGUGGGGGAUAUUGCACAAUGGGCGAAAGCCUGAUGCAGCGACGCGCGUGGGGGAUGAAGGCUUUGGGGUUGUAAACCUCUUUCGCUAACGAACGGGUAGGUGGAGAAGAAGCGCCGGCUAACUACGUGCCAGCAGCCGCGGUAAUUC